AACUUCCAUCAACUUGCUCUCUACUGUGCUUAUGAAUAGUGAUUCUUGAUGCUAUUACUCUAUGAAUUGCCCAAUCUGGCCCUGCUUGCAUUGACUUGCUCAGGUACUUUUCCUUAAUCGGUUCCUGGUUUUCCUCGCUGCCUUUCGUUUUGCCGCCUCUUCCCGAACUCCCUCAAAACCAGUCAUCUUUCUGGCUUUCUCUCUCCUUAGCUCCAUUUUUUCUCUCCUCCCUCCAUUUUACAUUUCCUGAGCAUAGCUACAUCACAAGAAUGGAGCAGCAGCGGUGAAAUCCAAGGGCGGCGGCUCAACUAUCACAAGAAUGGGGAGAUAUACAGCUUCGAGCUUGAGGAACUUGAACAGAAUGAGCACCCUUCAUCGUCAAAAAACUCCUGACCUUGUUCUCAAGAUGGUUUAUGAUAAAAAAAUUCCAUGAUUUUUUUAUCUGUGUUUUGGAAGCUAUGGGAGCUUUCAACGAAUUGAGGAAGCUGGAAUUGUUCUUUAAGGAUGAGAGCAGGCAUGGUCUUUCAGUUUUUGAUCUUGGAAAGAUAUUGGCUUGUAUGCACGAAUGGAACUUCAGAAGAGGUGGUGAAGAUAGUAGAAACUCUCAAUGUAGGUGAAGGUCAUGAAAAGGGAGGAGUUGGAAAAACAGAGAGGGGUCAUGAAAGAUAAAUGAAGCUGCAGGAACAAGGGAAAGUUGAGCAAGCAAAGAAAGACUUAGGUCAAUUUUGGGAUUACAUUCUCACUUUUGCUGUCAAAUACUUGUAUUGAUUGUAUGUUCUGUCUGCACUUCUUAAAGAAGCAGGAAAUAGAUAAUGUGCCUAAAGUAGAUGAGGCUUGGAUGAGCUUUGAAUAACUUAAUGUACGAGCUAUCGAAUUUGCUAUAGAAAACUUUAUACUAAGCAAAUCAACCUCCAUACAUUUUAUAGGCGAUUUAAUUUUAAAUGCUUAGUUUAAAUAUUUGCAUACAUCCUACUAACUUGAUACAUAAGGCUUCAAAUCCCUUUGCUUUAUGUUUGGGUUGAUGAAUUGGAAGGAAGAGCCUGGGAGAUAAUAAAGGCAAUAUAUAUGUAUUGCAUUCUCUCUUUUGAUUAUAAAAAAGGGGAGGGUAAUGAAAAGGGUUCAUUUUCCUGACAUAUAAUACACCAAGCUACUCACAAGCGCAAGACAGGAAGUUAUGGGAUAGACUUUGUGAAUUAGCUUAAGUUGCACACAUAAACAUCUUAAAGGCCGAGUCUAUGUUAGUUAUGUCAGAUUUGUUUUAUUUCUUUGCUUUGUUUUCGAAUGUGUAUGCAGAUUAGGUUUUUUUUUUUUUUUUUUUUUUUUUUUUGUGCCUUGUGUAUAUAAGUCUAGACCUUGAUUUGCCCCCGAGCUCUAUAGCAGAUAAAGUGUAUAAGCUGUUAAAGGAAGCUAGAAUAGUAGAAUUAAGUAUCUUGAAUUUAAAGCAUCAGUUUUUGCAUAUGCCUUAAUCAUCAUUUAGAUGUCUUAAAUAUAUGUCCGCAAGUUAAUACAUUUGUUCUUUUUUGUUUGCUUAUCUCUGUAACUGAUAUAUUUGCAGGUUAAUAAUUUGGUGCUUACAAAUAUCUCUUAACAUGGGUGACAUUCAGAAUGCUCCUCUUUCACAAGAGGAAACUACUUGUAGGUCUCUUUUUAUGAACUUUAGGUAUAAUAGAAGCUAAUUGUUUAUCGUGUUUUCAUCAGUGAUUAGCUCUAUUUUUUUUAUUCUACUGUUUUAUUCAGAUAAUUUGGGAUGUAGUGGGCAAGCCUGAAAUAUCUAGGGCCAAAGCUUGAGCUUGAGCUUGAAUGCAUAGAAGUAUACACGAGAAAAGUUGAUGUGGCUAACCACUCUAGAGCUCAGCUAGCUAUUGAUGAUUCAGAGGCAGAAUUUGCAACCAUCUAUUCUGCAAUUGGAGAACUUCCAUUACAUGUCAGCUGUCACCUACAUACUGUUAAAACAAAUCUUAAUGAUCCAUGAUUCCAUUGUGAAUCUUUGUAGAUUUUUAAUGCGAUUAAGAUGUAUUCAGAUUCAUUUCUUUGAUCAAUUUCUAUUAACAUUUAUUUAUGUCAA